GUAACAGCUAGUUUUUCUAUAAUUCCUCACAAGAUCGAAGUCGAACUUAGUUGCGUUUCUUUCUAGCUCUUCGUGACUUCUUUCUCGCCACAGUUGUUAACCUUUUGAUGAACCGCGUAACAAGUGUCUGAAUGAUUGAUCGCUUUCUUGGUUCCUUCAAACGUUCUUCAAGAUCGAGAUUACUUUUCUUUUGAACAAGGAGGUAUUCGAUGGUCUAUCAAUAAAAAUUUUAGGUGGAUCCGUUUCGUCGGAUGAAGAAAACUGGAGCUGGUUAUUCUUUCAGCAGUCGAAGAAAGAGAAAGGGAGAGGGAGAGGGAUAAAAAGGAACCCUUCUGGCGCCCGAACGGAAAUUCCUUUCCGGCGAUUCUUUAUCAAGGGACGUGAUUCAAGCCAGCAAUUGAAUUUUUCACUGGGACCGUCCGUUCCGUGUGCAGGAGAGAUUGUUUUCCCGUAAGAUCCUCUGCUCCACGCUGCGGGUAUUCUAAAUGAGAAAGUCGCCCCCUCUCCGCUUCUUUGCCGCUUAAUUGUCAAUUAAGUGUGCUCGCAUAUACGUGUCUGAAAGUUUCCAACCCUCUGACCACCGUCAGUUUCCAGUUAACUUAGAAACGUUGUAAUUUGCAUGUAAGAGUGAAGCGUGGCGUUGCCGUUGUUUUCCCGCGUAUGUUUCCCUCCAAGCUGCUUUGAAUAGUAAAGGGAGAUCCUUCUAAAGUUAACGGUCCCUUAGUAUCCUCUUUUUUCAUGAAUAUUCUCGCGCUGCUUUUCAUGUCAUAUCCUUGAAUCCUUCACUCUCCUCCCUCGAUCCCCUUCCUUUUUCCUUUUCUUUCCUCUACCUUUCUAUCUUUUAACGACCACUUAGCUACACGAAGCGUUCUUUACCAAGCACGAGGUUAAAAUCCCAAAGAGCUAUUAAGAUUCUCUUUUCGAAUUAAAAUUUGAACGUGCCCGUUACGACAACGCGAAGCUUCCGGCGCAUAGUAAUCGCAUUAAUUGGACCACGUUCGUUCCGGUGAAAAUCGUAAAAAGCUUAACAAACGCCUCUUUCUCUUUCUCUCUUUCUUUCUCUCUUUCUCUCUCCGUUUAUCCGAUACACUUCUUGCAUCAGAGAGGUGCCACGAGUGGCAAUAAGUACAGACUCGCAGAUAAGCUAAGGACU
rnacentral:misc_RNA from 1 species